AUACUUGUAGAGGUGUACAAUUCUAGAAAGGAGAAAAAGCUAUUUUUCUUUAAAUUCUCUCUUAAAAACACAGGCAAAACACAUUAUAGUAUCAUUAUAGCAUCAGAGUACAAUUUCAACAAUUCUACCCAAAAUCUCGUGAGAGAUUGUUUGGUUUAACCCAGCAGGUGGCUCAGGACCAUGUACUCAUUGGCUUACUCCCCCACUUCCCAGUGGGAUGGGGGAGAGAGAGAGAGAAUUAGGUGGAAAAUGUAGAACUUGUGAGCUGACAUAAAACUAUUUACUAAGAUAGAGAAAAAGAAGAGUAAUAAUUAUUACAUAUGUGUAUCUAUGUAUAUAACAAGUGAUGCACAAGUAACUGUUUGCCACCCUCUGACUGAUACCCAGCUUGCCCCUGAACAGCAGAAGAGGAAGAGAUGAACUCCCAGCCCCUUCAGAACUCCUGUCAUAUGAUGUCAUAUGGUAUGGAACAUCCCUUUGGACACCUUAAGUCAGCUGUCCCACUUCUGUUCCCACCCAGCUCCGUGGGCCAUUUGCUGUGAAUGAUCUUGGCUCUGUACAACACUGCUUAGCAGCAGCUAUAAACAUCUCUGUGUUAUCGGCACUGUUUUUCUCCUACAGCCAAAACAGAGCACCAUACCAGACACUGGAGACAACAAUUCCAUCCCAUCUGAAAUUAAGAUAGAGAUUUUGGAUAUCUAUAUAUGCAUGUGCGUGUUUGUUUAAUAUACAUACAUGUAUAUAUAUAUGUAUGUUUGUAGAUGAGGAAAAAAUUUCCCCCAGUGAACAUUCAUCAGUGCUUACUGAAUGUUUAUUGAGACCAAACAGUGGAUGUCAGCGUAGUGAGGUGGUGGAUGGUGUGUUUCAUCAGUGGUAACAGCAACAUGCAAGAUAAAGCACGUUCUGCAUGGCCAUACAGAUGCUUACAAGCAUGGCAUGCAGGCUCUCGUUUAUCCUUAGCAAAAACACACAGCUAAUAGUGGUAAUAAUGUUGAAAAAUAGUGUUUUGUUGUGAGAAUUCGCCCUAUCAGACAGUGUUACUGUGUUCUUUGCAUCUCUUGUAGUUUCCCUAGAAAUAAAUAGAAGGCAUUAUUUUCAG
ensembl:lncRNA